rnacentral:rRNA from 1 species
GUGGGGAAUCUUCCGCAAUGGACGAAAGUCUGACGGAGCAACGCCGCGUGAGUGAAGAAGGUUUUCGGAUCGUAAAGCUCUUUCGUUAGGGACGAACGUGCUCUUUGUGAAUAAUGAGGAGUAAUGACGGUACCUAAAUAAGAAGCCACGGCUAACUACGUGCCAGCAGCCGCGGUAAUACGUAGGUGGCAAGCGUUGUCCGGAAUUAUUGGGCGUAAAGCGCGCGCAGGCGGGAUAUCAAGUCUGUCUUAAAAGUGCGAGGCUCAACCUCGUGAGGGGACAGAAACUGGUAUUCUUGAGUGUCGGAGAGGAAAGUGGAAUUCCAAGUGUAGUGGUGAAAUGCGUAGAGAUUUGGAAGAACACCAGUGGCGAAGGCGACUUUCUGGACGAUGUCUGACGCUGAGGCGCGAAAGCUAGGGGAGCGAACGGGAUUAGAUACCCCAGUAGUCC